rnacentral:rRNA from 1 species
UACGGAGGAUGCGAGCGUUAUCCGGAUUUACUGGGUGUAAAGGGAGCGUAGACGGCGGUGCAAGCCAGAUGUGAAAGCCCGGGGCUCAACUCCGGGACUGCUUUUGAAACUGUGUGACUGGAGUGCAGGAGAGGUAAGCGGAAUUCCUGGUGUAGCGGUGAAAUGCGUAGAUAUCAGGAGGAACACCAGUGGCGAAGGCGGCUUACUGGACUGUAACUGACGUUGAGGCUCGAAAGCGUGGGGAGCAAACAGG